rnacentral:rRNA from 1 species
UCACUGCUAUUGGGAUUCGACUAAGCCAUGCGAGUCGAGAGGGUUCGGCCCUCGGCUGACUGCUCAGUAACACGUGGAUAAUCUGCCCUAUGGUGGAGGAUAACCUCGGGAAACUGAGAAUAAUACUCCAUAGGUCUGAGAGGCUGGAAUGCACUUAGACUGAAAGUUCCGGCGCCCUAGGAUGAGUCUGCGGACUAUCAGGUUGUAGUCAGGGUAAUGACCUGACUAGCCUACGACGGAUACGGGUUGUGAGAGCAAUAACCCGGAGACGAUAUCUGAGACACGAUAUCGGGCCCUACGGGGCGCAGCAGGCGCGAAAACUUCACACUGUGCGAAAGCACGAUGAGGGAAUCCCAAGUGCCAACUCGUAAGAGUUGGCUGUUUCUCUGUUUAGAACGCAGAGAGAGUAAGGGCUGGGUAAGACGGGUGCCAGCCGCCGCGGUAAUACCUGCAGCUCAAGUGGUGGCCACUAUUAUUGGGCCUAAAACGUCCGUAGCCGGUUUAGUAAAUGCCCGGGUAAAUCGUGUAGCUUAACUAUACGAAUUCCGGGUAGACUGCUAAACUUGAGACCGGGAGAGGCUAGAGGUACUCCUGGGGUAGAGGUGAAAUUCUGUAAUCCUAGGGGGACCACCAGUGGCGAAGGCGUCUAGCUAGAACGCGCCUGACGGUGAGGGACGAAAGCCAGGGGAGCGAACCGGAUUAGAUACCCGGGUAGUCCUGGCCGUAAACGAUGCAUACUAGGUGAUGGUACGGCCAUGAGCCGUAUCAGUGCCGUAGGGAAACCGUUAAGUGUGCCGCCUGGGAAGUACGGUCGCAAGGCUAAAAC